AACCAUAGAAACCUGCGGAGUACCUGCGGAAGGAUCAUUACAGAGUUCAUGCCCUCACGGGUAGAUCUCCCACCCUUGAAUACUAUACCUUUGUUGCUUUGGCGGGCCGCUUUGGCUACUGGCUCUGGCUAGUAAGUGCCCGCCAAAGAACCCCAAAACUCUGAAUAUUAGUGUCGUCUGAGUACUAUAUAAUAGUUAAAACUUUCAACAAUGGAUCU
rnacentral:misc_RNA from 1 species